rnacentral:rRNA from 1 species
GACGAACGCUGUCGGCGUGCUUAACACAUGCAAGUCGAACGGAAAGGCCUUUUCUGAGGGACUCUAGUGUGGAACAGGUGAGAAACACAUGGGUGAUCUGCCCUGCGCUCUGGGAUAAACCUGGGAAACUGGGUCUCAUACCCGAUAUGACUGCCCUUUAUUGUGUGUGGGGUAAAGAUUUUUCUGUGUAUGAUAAGACCUCGCCCUAUCUCCUCUUGGGGGGGGUAAUGGGCUACCACGGCGGCGACAGGGAUCCCGACUGAGAGGUUGGGCAGCCACAUUGUGACUGAGAUACACCCCACACACUUACAGGAGGCGCCACUGGGGAAUAUUGCGCAAUGGGCGCAAGCCUGAUACACCGACACCCCGUGGGGGAUAACAGCCUUCUCGUUGUAAACUCCUUUCUCCAUAGACAAAACGUUUUGUGACAGUACCUGUAGAAAAAACACCGCCUAUCUACAUGUCACCACCCGCGCUAAUACACAUGUUGCGAGAGUUGUCCCGAAUUACUGGGCGUAAAGAGCUCGCAUGUGGGUUGUCACGUCUCCUGUGAAAUUCCACAGCUUAUAUGUGGGCGUGCGCGCGAUACUGGCUGACUUGAGUACUGCAGGGGUAACUGGAAUUCCUGGUGUAGCGGUGAAAUGCGCAGAUAUCAGGAGGCACACCGAUGGAGAAGGCAGGUUACUGGGCAGUUACUGACGCUGAGGAGCGAAAGCAUGGGUAGCAAACAGGAUUAGAUACCCUGGUAGUCCAUGCCGUAAACGGUGGGCGCUAGGUGUAGGGGCCUUUUGGGGUUUCUGUCCGGUAGUUAACACAUUAAACGCCCCCGCCUGGGGAGUACGGCCGCCAGGGUUAAAACUCAAAGGAAUUUACGGGGGCCCGCACCAAGCGGCGGAGCAUGUGGAUUAAUUUGAUGCCACGGGAAGGACCUUACCUGGGCCUGAGAUAUCCCCCGAUAUCUGCAUAGAUAUAGUUUCCCUUGUGGCAUGUGUACACAGGGUGCAUGACUGUCGUCAUCUCCUGUCGUGAGAUGUUGGGGUAAGUCUCGCACCGAGCGCACCCCCUGUCUUAUGUUUCCAGCGCGUUAUGGUGGGGACUCAUGAGAGACUGCCGGGGUUAACUCGGAGGAAGGUGGGGAUGACGUCAAGUCAUCAUGCCCCUUAUGUCCAGGGCUUCACACAUGCUACAAUGGCCGGUACAAUGCGCAGCGACCCUGUGAGGGUGAGCUAAUCGCUUAAAGCUGGUCUUAGUUCGGAUUGGGGUCUGCAACUCGACCCCAUGAAGUCGGAGUCGCUAGUAAUCGCAGAUCAGCAAUGCUGCGGUGAAUACGUUCCCGGGCCU